rnacentral:rRNA from 1 species
CAGUAGCCGCGGUAAUACAGAGGGUGCGAGCGUUAAUCGGAUUUACUGGGCGUAAAGCGUGCGUAGGCGGCUUCUUAAGUCGGAUGUGAAAUCCCUGAGCUUAACUUAGGAAUUGCAUUCGAUACUGGGAAGCUAGAGUAUGGGAGAGGAUGGUAGAAUUCCAGGUGUAGCGGUGAAAUGCGUAGAUAUCUGGAGGAAUACCGAUGGCGAAGGCAGCCAUCUGGCCUAAUACUGACGCUGAGGUACGAAAGCAUGGGGAGCAAACAGGAUUAGAGACCCCAGUAGUCCCUGUCUCUUAUAA